CAGGCCAUUCCCAUAUUUUCUUUCAACAGAGCAGAUACAUUUGUUGAAAUUUUGCCAUUAAUGUCAGUCUCUCUAUGAUUCUCAGGCGACGGUGUGUAUCCAUCCAGGGUUUUCUAUAUAAUUUGUGGUGUAAAAUACAGAACAACGUAAACAGUUGGAAAUACCAGCUUUCAUUUGCCGCUCAAACACACUCGCUUGCACGUGUGCAAAUGGUUAGUUUUCGGUUAUUUACUUAACCUGUUCCCCGUGAUGCAGUAAGAGAUCUACAAAGAGAAAUUCAGCACCACAUGUGGUGGACAGCGCUUCACCUUCAAGACCUCUGCAGUGUAUCGCAUUGUUUCCUUUUUAUGGUUUUCCAGAUUGCAGUACACAUAUACUUUCACAAUUGCUUAGCACAAUAUCCAAAACACAGACCAGAACUAUCGGAACUAGCUUUAUUAGGGGGAAAAACAAUUUAAUCAAAUUAUCAGGAAGAAUUUUUCAACCCUGCAGUAUUUUUUGGCCUGCUGAUGGUGGAAGGCUCCGCUCUUGGCAUUCACCGCGUGCCUUAAUUGUAAGACAUUAAAUCAAGGUCCGCUGUGAACACGGAGAGCCAGAGUCUCAAAUCACGCAGAGCCUGUCUAAAACAUACCACAAACCCUCUCCAUCGUUGUAAGCAACCAAAAGCAUCUGUAUUAUCAUUAAAUCCUUCGUUUAUCCAGUCAUUCCCCAGCCUCUGGUUUUAGUGUCCCGGCGCGUAUGACUCUACUACGGCGUAUUUCCUAUUAAAUGAUUGUUUUUCAAAACCCAUCUCGGCGAUGUCCUGUGCUAUUGAAACCAUCCUGUUAAGUGUUUAAGCACAGCACGGAUCUGCAAUAAAGCGAAGCGAAUGCUCAAAAGGAUUACUUAACCGCCGUAUGAUGAAAUAUGGACAUGCAACGUUGACAGCAAAGGGAUAAGGCCUUCGUUAUUUUUUGGAGCUGGUUUCAAAUUCAGCCAGUCUGAGACAAAGAGGGACAAGGGGACAACUGCUUGAAAGGACCUCAGCUCUGUCAAAAAUGCGUCAGGGGCUUCAACCACGUCCGUACGUACUCAACCACCUACAAGAAGAAAACACAAAAAAUUGCAUAUUAGAAACGUAAUAGGCUUCCAGUUAAAUAUGCAAACAAAUACUCAACUCUCGAAUGCGUCAAAAAGAAUUAAGAUAAAUUCCAGGCAAACGGCGCAUUAAGCUAAUACGCAUGUUCGAGAAAAGAAGCAUCCAAAUGCGUUCUGUAUUCCAUUCGAUAAAAACAGCCGACAAAACCAACGUAGCCUACUUCCCGCAGCAUCUUCUUGGACUCAAGAUGGGCUGAAUAUUCCCAAUAUCCGUGCUGUUAAACGGUCUUCAAGCAUCAUCUUUUGUGUUCUGCAGAAGAAAGAAAGUCCUAUACGUUUGGAACGACGUGAGGCUUUGGGUCUGUGGCGGGGCUGGCUAGAUUCCCAUGGCACAGAGAGCAGCUGCCUGAGUUUCAGGGCUCUGGAUAAAACUGUUUCUCUUCCAUGCCGAGAGAACGUAAUGACAGUAGGGCCCUUUGGGCCUGCCAGCCAUCUGCAGGUCCAGGUCCUGGUUAAGCAUGACCAGGUGCAGAGAAAAGUCUUCUUGCUACCUCUCAGCUGAUUAGUGGAGCCGGUUGAUUGGUGCAAAUGAGGAAGCUUUUAUCCUGCUUGAGUAUAAUCUGCUUGCAUCUUUAUUGGCUAAAAGCAGGCGUGAUGCUGGCAUGACCCAGGCUGCCCCAGGUACUGUGCUCAGAAAGGGUACUGACACUAAUGUCUUCUGACACACACAUCCCCCAUGCCCUUCCUGUUAAAGGUGCACACACAGAUACGCUGCAGAAAAAAAUCUCCAAAGCUUAUGCAUGCACUUUUUUAAUUACACUACUUUUGUGAAAAAUAUUUUUUAUAAUAUACACCAUAUUAAAAUGCACAUUCUCAGUGAAGGCGAGCGGGAACGUUCAGCACUUUAUAGCUGAAGCCUUUGGCGUAAUGGCUGCUUGUUUCCUUCUCAUCUUCUUUUGUCCUUAAAGGACGCUGCCUUGCCUAGCUGCACAGAUCCUUGGAGCAUCUUUCCUAUUUGUCUGUCCCUCUCUGUGCUGCAACACAGCCUGUUAUUUCAAGGAAAGUGCAACCUUUGCCUUGGGCUUUAAUUAUGUUCAAUUUGCCAAGCCGAGCCUGAAAAAUUCAGAGGGUAAAAAAGCUCUAUGACCUAUUUAUUAAUGCUGCGUUGGGUCUAAAGCUACACUGAGAUCAGCACUGCAUCACUCAACAAUAACACCCAUCUCUGGAGAACAGACUUCAAUCACGUUGUACUCCUCUCUUACAAUGGGAAUUCAUUACUUUAUAAUAGAUCACUGACCAGUUAAUCAUUAUUAAAAGAAAUGUAAAAGUUUGUAGUUAAGUGUGAUUUGUAAUUGGUGUACAUUGUUGGAAUUGUACAUGAAAUUGGCAAAAUGGAAAUUAUAUAUAUAUAUAUAUAUAUAUAUAUAUAUAUAUAUAUAUAU
ensembl:lncRNA